rnacentral:lncRNA from 1 species
AUUACAAUGGUUUGACGGUAAAUUAGGCUUUCAGUAAAGGAUUCUCAUGCAAAAAGAUUCAUGAAGUUGAUGAAACACUAGAUUCUUUUUAUGGAAUAAAAGAAUAAUUACAUCUCUAAUUUUAGAGCAGUUGCUCUUCAGGUUCAGCUGAAUAUUCAUGUUUGUAUAAUAGUAUCUGUGUAUCAUAAUCCCAUUAUAAACUCAUUUCUGGUCAUUAAUGAUAUAGUGUAUAAUAAAGCAUGUAUAAUUGCUCAUUUUAAAAAACAAAACAAAAAACAAAAUACAGCUUCUCCUGACUUCUCUGAAAAGAGUUUUCCUUUUCCUAAAUGUGCCAUUGAUCAGGAAUUACGAGCUUAAAUAUUCCUUUAAAAUGUCAGGCUUGCUCAAGAGUACUCAUGUAAAACUGUAAAAGUAAUUGACAGUGUUAUAUGAAUGUUGGGCUGAAUUAAAUUAUAAGUCAGGCCUGGCUAUCUGCUCAGAACGUGCUGUUUCCAGGAUAACUGCACAAUUGUGCAAAAAUAAGACUAUUUUGUUCGAUACAAUUUGAGACUCUCUCUAUAUUUUUUUUUUUCUUUUUAUGGCUGCAUCCACAGCAUAUGGAUGUUCCCAGACUAGGGGUCGAAAGGGAGCUGCAGCUGCUGGCCUACACCACAGCCCCGGCAACACCAGAUCCGACCAGCUUGCAGCCAUGCCGGAUGGAUCCUUAACCCACUGAGUGAGGCCAGGGAUAGAACCUGCAUCUUCAUGGAUAUUGUUGGGUUCUUAACCUUACUGAGCCACAAUGCAAACACCUACUGUAAAUAUUGGAUGCUUCUCUUCUGACUUUUAUAUUUAUGAGAAGGAGAGAAGAGUUAUUUCAUAUUGUUGGUGAUUCGGUUUUUAAAAUGAAAUGCUCUUCAUUUUUCUUGAGGAAUAUGUUAAUGUGGCAAGAGAAGCCAUGCACAGGUUUCAUCAUUUGUAAAGACAUGUAGGGUUGGAUUAGGAAUUUUCUCAGUAGUGUGCGAGUGAAACCAAUACAGCAAAGAAGAAGUCGCUGGGGCCGAGUUCAAAUUAUUUUUUAAACUGAAAUCCUGGUUGUGCCCAAUAAUUUAUUUCAUAGUAACUCAAUAUUAUAAAUUAAUUAUAUAAAAGAAGUACACUAAUAAAAUAAUGUUUUGUCUGCUUAUAGGCUGGGUCAUAAAGUGCUAUUAAAUAAGCAUAUAAACCAUGGUUCCAUGUAUGACUUUCUCUAAAAGCAGGGUUGUGUGGAAGAGAGCAGCUAACCUGUUACAGAAGCUCUAAGACAGGGCUGUUUUCCUUUCUUCUGGAUAAAAUGGAAACUUAAACUCCAAACAUGUAGGUUGUAUAGUAACAGCAGCAUGGGCAUUUUACAACACAACUAGAUGUCGUAUAGAAUUGUGAGUGAGAUCAUCUUGAUACAAUCAUGUUUUCCUCAUUUUAUGCAUGAGGGUCCUUUUGUAAAAGCAUUAUCAAAUUGUCCCCCCCCCCCCCCCCCCGCCGCCUUCCUUCAAGCUCAAUACCCUGUGUGUAUCUGGAUAAGGGUCUUGUGGACGCUUCUGGUUCCGUGGGGCUUAUUUCUCCUUUAACCCACACACCGGUUUAUCCCUGAUUCUUUAAAGAUCACAAGAAAAAUCAUUUAGAUGUUUAAAAACAAAAGUACCGCUUUGUCAGUGUCCCUGUGGGAAUGUUUGCCCUUGCUGUGGUCAACACUUAGAGUUGAGUACAUCAUCACUGUUCUAAACACCAAGGAGUAAACACCGCUUCCUGUUCCCAGAUCUUACAAACUGCAAGGAAGGAAAGAAGAAAUAGGGAACCACCUGUCGGCGUCUGAAGCUCAUGCUUCCCUUAGAUGAUGAAGAUCGGUUGGAAGCCAUGAAUUGUCUCAAAAGUGUUUGUGCAUUUGGGGGUGGGGUGGGGGAGACGUGUUAGAAGACCCUUUAUUAAUGCAGUGCCCUGUGUGAGUAGCGGUGUUCGUUCAUUACUCCAUGUAUAGUCUUGAGAGUUUAAACGUUGGCCUUUAUAUUGGUGAUGAUUUACAGUUACUUUUUGACCUGUGGCUCCUGUACUAGGCAAUUAAAUAGAUGCAAAUUUCCAUUUAUAAGCUAGAAUAUAUUUUAUUUUACCUUCUUCUCUAGAACAUUGGUGCAACAAAAUUGCUUUCAUCACCUGGUUGCCUUUUCCCUUUGAUCCUCCUGGUCCAGAGAGGUUACAUACCACUCCUGAAAUCUGUUUGCAAAUUAGCAUUAGCAUCUUUUUAUUUCUCAGUCUCUCCCUUCCUCUCUUGCCCCUUCUUCUUGUGGACUUGCCCUAUAUUUUGUUUGUUUUUCUGAAAGGAACAUUAUUUUCUCUUUCUAUGAUUAUUCUCUUCUGUACUCUUCUGCCAAUGUUCAGAGGUAUUUAUGGAAUUCUCUUGCAUAGAACCCAAAUGACCUGACCUAAAUUCUGCCAUUUUUUCAUUUGGGAACUGCUCUCCCCACCCCAAGGCCAGGUUAAGAUGAUCAGUACGUUUAAGGCUCUCAGGAUUGGAAGAGUCCCUGGGAUCACCACCCAACUAGACUGAACAGGAACCGUGACUAGGCAGUGGAAAGAUUCUUGAUCAUCCGAUCUCUCUCAUCCCCUACACGAGACGCUUUAAACAAAGACACUCAGAGCUAAUCAUCUGAAAAUCCUGCCAAUGUAAAAACAGGCAAAACUUCAAAAACGUGUUAAAACAGGUGGGAAGGGAUAUAUCCUUAUGCUUAGUGGGGUAUACAUUUAAAAUCAUUGUUUUCCUUUUUACAAUAAAUGUGUGGGGGCAAGAGUAGCCUAGAGGUUAGCUUUGGUCUGAGUCUUUGAGAUAUAAGCUUGAUUGGGACUUAUUCUGUGUCCUCUAGCAAGUCACUCCUUGCAUCUAUUUCCCUAAACCAUGAAGUGGAAAUAAUGCCUCCAUCCCGAGGGUCCUGGGGUUUACUGUUAGUGAAGUGCUUUGGAAUCCACUGCUGAAAGGCACUCAGCAAGUUCAAAGCACCAGUAUUAAGAAAGGUUUAUCAUAUUUAUAAACCAGUAAAUCCUUCCCAUGGGUGUAAAAUGAUUCUUGAUUCUUCCUAGUUUGAUUCCUUACAC